GUUACAGCCGCCGCGGUAAUACGUAGGGUGCGAGCGUUGUCCGGAAUUAUUGGGCGUAAAGGGCUCGUAGGCGGUUUGUCGCGUCGGGAGUGAAAACACCGGGCUUAACUCGGUGCUGGCUUCUGAUACGGGCAGACUGGAGGUAUGCAGGGGAGAACGGAAUUCCUGGUGUAGCGGUGAAAUGCGCAGAUAUCAGGAGGAACACCGGUGGCGAAGGCGGUUCUCUGGGCAUGUCCUGACGCUGAGGAGCGAAAGUGUGGGGAGCGAACAGGAUUAGAUACCCGAGUAGUCC
rnacentral:rRNA from 1 species